UCGGUGGCGCGCGGCGCGGCCAGGCCGGCUCCGAUGGCCUGCAGCUGGCGCGCCGCCGACCAGGUGCGGGACACGCUCCACGACAGCGAGCGUAAGUGCGCGGAGGGCGAGGCGCGGGACGGCGACGCCCGCGCGCGGCCGAAGGAGCGGUUGCGGUGGGACGCGAGGAACGAGGCGAGCCCGCCGCCGGCGCCCGCGGAGGCGGCGGCGGCAUCGUCGGCGAGGAGCAGGGAAAGGUCCGAGAGCGCCUUCCGCGCGCGCCAGAGCUGGCCCUCGUGCACCUGCCCCUCGGCGGGCGCCAGCAGUGCGGAGGCCGCCAGCCCCGCGAGGCGCUCCCAGCGGCGGGCCUGGUCCACGCCGUCGCGCGCCGCGUUGCAGACGUCGAGCGCCCUGACGGCGCGCUCGCCGACCUCCGCCACCAGCUUCUCCGCGUCCGCGGGGGCCGUGACCCCGCCGCCGCGGCGCCGCGCCUCGGCCACCGCCGCCCGGAACUCCUCCUGGCACAGCAGGAACGCCUCCAGCAGGCGCCGGACCCACGCGACGGACAUGAACUCCUCCCCGCCGGGCGCGCUCAGGCCCGCAAGGCGCACAGCGACAUGGGCGUGGAAGUCCCCGAGCUCCGGGCCGGCGCCGCGCGGCGGCGGCAUCGCGGCCGCCGGGGCGUCGCGGCGGAGGGAGAGGAGCGUGCGGCCGAACGAGGGGAACGGGGACGAGUGGGCGUGCGUCGACGGGGAGGAGCCCUGGAGGUCCGUGGCCGGCAUGGUGUCGGUCUCGGCGUCGGCGGACGAAUCGAAGCGCGGAUCUUGGACAGGGAAUGGCCGACAGCGUUGUGGUGGGGUCGGUGGGGCUUUGGCUCAGUGGGUCCGUGGGCGCAUGGCGGCCCAGCUCAGCUCAACUCGAGCAGGCGUUUUUCCGGUGAGAUUGCGUGGGGGGAUGGCGGUGGUGGAUGAGUGAAUGGUGAUG
rnacentral:misc_RNA from 1 species